GACGGGGGGUCCUAGCGUUGUUCGGAAUCAUUGGGCGUAAAGCGCACGUAGGCGGUUCGUUAUGUCGGAUGUGAAAGCCCUUGGCUUAACCGAGGAAGUGCAUCCGAAACUGGCGAGCUAGAGUACGAAAGAGGAUCGCGGAAUUCCCGGUGUAGAGGUGAAAUUCGUAGAUAUCGGGAGGAACACCGAUGGCGAAGGCGACGAUCUGGGUCGAUACUGACGCUGAGGUGCGAAAGCGUGGAGAGCAAACAGG
rnacentral:rRNA from 1 species